rnacentral:tRNA from 1 species
GUUCAUGUAGCUUAAUAUAAAGCAAAGCACUGAAAAUGCUUAGAUGAGCUCUCAGAGCUCCAUAAACA